rnacentral:rRNA from 1 species
AGUGAACGCUGGCGGUAGGCCUAACACAUGCAAGUCGAACGGCAGCACAGUAAGAGCUUGCUCUUACGGGUGGCGAGUGGCGGACGGGUGAGGAAUACAUCGGAAUCUACUUUUUCGUGGGGGAUAACGUAGGGAAACUUACGCUAAUACCGCAUACGACCUACGGGUGAAAGCAGGGGAUCUUCGGACCUUGCGCGAUUGAAUGAGCCGAUGUCGGAUUAGCUAGUUGGCGGGGUAAAGGCCCACCAAGGCGACGAUCCGUAGCUGGUCUGAGAGGAUGGUCAGCCACACGAGAACGGAGACACGGUCCAGACUCCUACGGGAGGGAGCAGUGGGGAAUGUGGGGCAAUGGGCGCAAGCCUGAUCCAGCCAUACCGCGUGGGUGAAGGAGGCGUUCCGGUUGUAAAGCCCUUUUGUUGGGAAAGAAACGCAGCAGGUUAAUACCCCGCUGUUCUGACGGUACCCAAAGAAUAAGCACCGGCUAACUUCGUG